AAUUUCAUCCAAAUGCACAAUUAUGCAUAAGUAUAAUUAUAAUGAUCAUAACAUAAUAUAUAUGAGAAAAUACAAUAUGUAAAUAUAUAAAAAUGUAAUGUUAUGCAAAUGCAGUGUUGACAUGCAUUAUUUAUUAUUACUCACAGUAGUGGAGAACGAAUCCCUAACUUUGAUUUUGGUCGGAAGGAGCACUAGACGGACCCGGGCGAUCUAUGAAAUUUAAGAAUGACACAAAACAAAAGUAACUAUAUCAGAUAACAUAUUUCUUUACUACUCUAAGAAUUUUAUUUUUGUAUUCUUAAUUUUUCUACGUCAUCUAAUCUCGAUAUUAAGUUCUUUUCUGUAAUAAACUUUUAUUUUUCUACCGAACUCUAUUUUAUUUUCUACCGAAAUUUCGGCAGCAUCUCCCCUAAAAAUUUAACUAUCCACCUGUUAAAAUAUCAAUAAUAUAUCAAUAAUUCCAAACCACACAGCCCAUCCAUCGGGCAAUCAAUCAAUUUAAUUUCCUCAUCCUCCAUCCGAAUAACAAUAUCAACAUUACCUUCAAUUCUCAUUCCAUUCAUAAUAUUAUUAUCAAAAUUCCUCAAUAAAUUAUUUCAUACUGAAUUUAAUUUAACUCACUAUUGUUGUUAUUAAUCAAUAAUUACUUCAUAUUAAUUAAUCAAUAACUAUUUUGAAUUAAUUUUAACUAACUAAAUAACUACAAUUACUAACUAAAUAUUUUAUUAAUCAAUAAAUUAAACCUAUUUAAAUUAAUUUCACUACAUAAUAUGAAUUAACUACGCAAAAUAACUAAAAUUAAAUGAACUAAAUUAACUACAAUAAUAAAAUUAAUUCAAGUAACUAAAAUUAUUAAAAUUGAUUUUUACCCCAAAAUAUAAUUUUUGUCGAAUUUUGCUAGAUCGGGAGUUUUUAUGCGUGCCAGAUUGAAAAGCAGUGACUGCUGGUGGUCGGAUCCAACUAACAGUGGCGAAGAGAGGCAGAGAGAGGCGGAGGAGCGGCUGGCAGCGAGGCUUGAAGCUGGUGCUACUGUUGUAGGAGCGACAGGCCUGGCAGAGGGCUGACUGUGGUGCGCGGAGGAGCUGCGGGAC
rnacentral:lncRNA from 1 species